rnacentral:rRNA from 1 species
CUGUUUGCGAUGUUUGUUCUUUUUGGGUGUACUUUUUCGUAUGGUAGGCCAACAUCAGUUUCCAAUAUCAUAAAAUGACCGGAGGAAUGUAGCUUCUAUCUUGUAUUGAAGUGUUAUACCCUUUGGUAGAUGUGGUGUUUGGGACUGAGGAUUGCAACAAAUAUCCUUUGGGCUAUCUGUCUGAUCUCUGAAAGUUGCUUACGUGCCGAAAGCGUGCUUACGGUUAUUUAAAUUGACGGUCAACAGGUUAGAAC